GGGGUCGUAUGGUUUCGACAGAAUAUAUAUUUAUGUAUUUGCAGGUGGCGCGCUAUUCCUAAAAUAGCAAUACAGUUAAAAUAACUGACAAAACUAAUUUUAAUACAGCUUUAGCAUUUGCUUAGUAGCAAUUAAAGCACUACCUGUUAAUCUUAUUUCUGCGAAGAUAAUAGGUGGUUCAUAUUAGCAGAAUAUAUUUUAGUAUUUCUUCAAUACUAGAAAGAAUCCCUAGAAGAUAUUCAAUAUAACUUUGUUAGUUUGCAGAUAUUGAAAAAUUAAUAAACUGACUAAACUUGUAGAAGAUACAUAAAUAGUAUUUUGGACAGUGGUUCAAAUCCGCUCGGCUCCACCA
rnacentral:tmRNA from 1 species